GACAGAGGGUGCAAACGUUGUUCGGAAUUACUGGGCGUAAAGCGCGUGUAGGCGGCAUGACAAGUCGGAUGUGAAAGCCCUGGGCUCAACCCAGGAAGUGCAUUCGAUACUGCCGUGCUAGAGUCCCGGAGAGGGUGGUGGAACUCUCGGUGUAGAGGUGAAAUUCGUAGAUAUCGAGAAGAACACCGGUGGCGAAGGCGGCCACCUGGACGGUGACUGACGCUGAGACGCGAAAGCGUGGGGAGCAAACAGG
rnacentral:rRNA from 1 species